UAGUCCACGCCGUAAACGAUGGGAACUAGCCGUCGGGGCCCUUGAGGUUUUGGUGGCGCAGCUAACGCGAUAAGUUCUCCGCCUGGGGAGUACGGCCGCAAGGCUAAAACUCAAAUGAAUUGACGGGGGCCCGCACAAGCGGUGGAGCAUGUUGUUUAAUUCGAUGCAACGCGAAGAACCUUACCACCCCUUGACAUCCUCAGAACUUGUUAGAAAUAACUUGGUGCCUUCGGGAACUGAGUGACAGGUGCUGCAUGGCUGUCGUCAGCUCGUGUCGUGAGAUGUCGGGUUAAGUCCCGCAACGAGCGAAACCCUCAUCCUUAUUUGCCAGCGAGUAAUGUCGGGAACUAUAAGGAAACUGCCGGUGAUAAGCCGGAGGAAGGCGGGGACGAUGUCAAGUCAUCAUGGCCCUUAUGGGUUGGGCUACACGCGUGCUACAAUGGUGCUUACAACGGGAAGCAAAGCAGCAAUGCCAAGCAAAUCCUUAGAAAAAGCAUCUCAGUUCGGAUUGUUCU
rnacentral:rRNA from 1 species